rnacentral:rRNA from 1 species
UGUAACAAGGUCUCCGUAGGUGAACCUGCGGAGGGAUC